AUUGAACGCUGGCGGCAUGCCUUACACAUGCAAGUCGAACGGUAACAGGUCUUCGGAUGCUGACGAGUGGCGAACGGGUGAGUAAUACAUCGGAACGUGCCCGAUCGUGGGGGAUAACGGAGCGAAAGCUUUGCUAAUACCGCAUACGAUCUACGGAUGAAAGCAGGGGACCGCAAGGCCUUGCGCGGACGGAGCGGCCGAUGGCAGAUUAGGUAGUUGGUGGGAUAAAAGCUUACCAAGCCGACGAUCUGUAGCUGGUCUGAGAGGACGACCAGCCACACUGGGACUGAGACACGGCCCAGACUCCUACGGGAGGCAGCAGUGGGGAAUUUUGGACAAUGGGCGAAAGCCUGAUCCAGCCAUGCCGCGUGCAGGAUGAAGGCCUUCGGGUUGUAAACUGCUUUUGUACGGAACGAAAAGACUCUUUCUAAUAAAGAGGGUCCAUGACGGUACCGUAAGAAUAAGCACCGGCUAACUACGUGCCAGCCGCCGCGUAAUAC
rnacentral:rRNA from 1 species